rnacentral:rRNA from 1 species
GUCUAUGGCCACACCACCCUGAAUGUGCCCCAUCACACCUGGUCUUGGAAGCUAAGCAGAGGCGGGCCUGUUAGUGCUUGGAUGGGAGAUUCCAUCUCACUCCUGUCAGAAUGGCUAUCAUCAAGA